CAGAGAACCACAGAACAAUGCAGUGAUCACCAGGAAGCCUCACCCUUGGCUGGCCCUUCCAAACUCCCCUCUGAGCAUGUAUAGAACCUUCCAGCACUAUGAAAACUUGGCAGUAGAGAUGAAGCUUUGAGUGUGUUGUGCAGUGUAAUGCAUCUCAGAAGCGGCUGGAUGGCUGAGGAGACAGAACAAUGUGCAAGUCUGAAUUUACAUUGUUAAUAAAAAUGGUUAAAGACUUGGAAAAUCAGAAAUAGAAAAUCAAGCAAAAAGAAAGCGCAGCACGUAGGUGUCCUUUCAGUGGAAUGUCAUCGUGGCUCCCUGGACUGGGUCCUCCUUCAGAAUCGUUCGACUUUAUAAGGAUGUGCACCUUUGACUCCGUCACAUACAGUCCUAUGAAGAAGCUGACAUGGAGAAGGAAAAC